rnacentral:rRNA from 1 species
GCGGCGGACGGGUGAGUAAUACAUAGGUAAUCUACCUUCGAGCUUGGGAUAACCCCGCGAAAGUGGGGCUAAUACCGGAUAAGACCACGUAAUUAUUUUACGGGGUAAAAGGUGGCUUAUUUUUUAAAUGAGCUAUCACUUGAGGAUGAGCCUGUGGCCUAUCAGCUAGUUGGCGGGGUAAGAGCCCACCAAGGCUAUGACGGGUAGCUGGUCUGAGAGGACGACCAGCCACACUGGGACUGAGACACGGCCCAGACUCCUACGGGAGGCAGCAGUGGGGAAUAUUGGGCAAUGGGCGAAAGCCUGACCCAGCGACGCCGCGUGGGCGAUGAAGGCCUUCGGGUUGUAAAGCCCUGUCAUGCGGAAAGAACGACCCUGUGACGCAUACUCACAGGGAGUGACGGUACCGCAGGAGGAAGCACCGGCUAACUCCGUGCCAGCAGCCGCGGUAAUACGGAGGGUGCAAGCGUUGUUCGGAAUUAUUGGGCGUAAAGGGCGCGUAGGCGGUAAUGCAAGUCAGAUGUGAAAUACUCCGGCUCAACUGGGGAACUGCAUCUGAAACUGCAUAACUAGAGUACAGAAGAGGAAAACGGAAUUCCCGGUGUAGAGGUGAAA